UCAUGACCUGAGCCGAAGCCGGCUGUCCAACCGACUGAGCCACCCAGGCGCCCCUUGAUCUCCAUUAUAGACACGGGAGUACUCGGUCACAGACGGGUUACAUAACCCACAUGCUCCCUUCCACACGGCUAACGAGCGGCACCCAGAAGGUCAUGAGGCAAGAAGGAAACCGUCUCGAACUCCCGCCAAGCCGUUCUGCCCAGCGAGCCUCUUCCCACAAGCGUGGGGCUCCGGGCGCGCCCGAGGCCCCCGCCAGCCGAGGCGCUUUCCUGCCUUCAAAGGCCCACCUUGAGUGCAUGCCAGAAUCCGGCAACAGAUUCUGGUCCAACUCAUGCAAACCGCAGAACUCCAGGGCGGUUGAGGCCACGGAACACUGAGUUGAGAUCAAGUGGCUUAAUACCAAAAGAAAACAUCUUCAAAGUUUUGUCGGAGGGAAAGCCAAACAGAGAUAAUGUUGAAGUCUCCAGCUUGCUAGUUCCUUUCUGUUUGGUCAGUGCUUGAUAGGAUAUGACGUCUGAGUGCCCCUGCCCACAGCUUUAUCGUCGAAGAGCCUCUGCUUUGCUGGGUCCAGGACGAGGGUCAUUCCAGCUCAGCAGUGAGUGAAUACUCUUGACCAUAAAACUCUCUGCCAACGAAAGACAUUGUGAAUAUAGAGCAACACAGUCUGGUGGUCAUGG